UACGGGGGGAGCAAGCGUUGUUCGGAUUUACUGGGCGUAAAGGGCGCGUAGGCGGCCACCGCAAGUCAAUUGUGAAAUCUCCGGGCUUAACUCGGAAAGGUCAACUGAUACUGCGGGGCUAGAGUGCGGAAGGGGCAACUGGAAUUCUCGGUGUAGCGGUGAAAUGCGCGAUAUCAGGAGGAACACCGGUGGCGAAGGCGGGUCUCUGG
rnacentral:rRNA from 1 species